ACACUCUAUAGCAUUAGUAAUAAAUCAUUAAAAUAAUACAGUUCUUGAUUCUGAUGGUGUCAAAGUACAAAAUAUUCAUAAUAUGACUUUUUAAAUGAUUGCAAUAAUACAGUGCAUCAAGUUCAUUUUUUAAUGCCCCAUUAUUUCUAUAUUGCAAUGAUCCAAGGAAGUAAAGAAAGAACCCUCAAAGUGGGGAAUCUCAGUCUAAGUUCUAAUGGAACAUAAGAAACAACAUGAUCCUGUGUUGAAAAUGUUAUAUUUAAAGCAAUAUGAAUCUAAUCGAACCAAAAGAACAAAUCCUUAACUCUGCUUUGUCUUCAAAAUGAACAGGAUGGUUAAGAAAGCGAUUUUCACACUUGGAAAAAACAACAGUUGGCAUGUUUUGAUCAAAAUAAGGAGCUCCUUAAUAUCAAAUGAAGACAAAUCACUCUGACAAAAGGUUGACCAGUUUACUUCUCUUUCUUCUCUGUGAAAUUAUUGAAAGGGUGGGUGUAGCAUGGAAUUUCAAUGUUUUAAAAUCACUGUGUUUGUUUGGCAGUCACUUAGAGACAUCCCAACUUAACAUAAUAAGGACACUGUCCUACUAUCUCAGUCACAACCCAGUCAUCAGUUCUAUAAAAGCACAAGUUGCUACUUUUAAGAACAAACAAAUUUGCUAAAGCACAGCUGGUAGACGCUGCUCAAAGUCAUCUCUAAGCUUCAAUUUCUGUGUUUGGAAUUUGUACCCGUUAUAAAACAAACAGAAAGAGAAACUGAAACAAACUGUAUUGUAGCCUAAAUAAAUAGUACUUUACGUCUUUUCUUAAUAGCUAGUUUUUAAUCAGUAGUAAUCGAUACAAACUCACCUAGGUGUCUGCUUCUCUUUCCUUCUCAAGGCUUUUAACAGAACCAGCUAGGGUAAAAUGUGUGUACAUUAUUUAGCCUUUCUUGGGGGUAGGGACGGAAACUAUAUGUUACAGUUCUUUGGGAAGGUGCUCUACUGUAAAGAUACUAGAAAUGAGAGCUGUUGAAACAAAGUAGGCAAUUUAUGUCUUGUGGGUCCUAUUAAUGGCUGAAGAGGUCAGAGGAGUGGAGAAUAACUUCAUAAAAGCAUUAAAGGGCAAGAGAUAGGUGAGUUCUAAGAGGCAUUUUUUUUCUACCUGUAAAAGGACAAGUAAUUUUCUGACUUCCUUCAUUUCAUAUUUCAGGUCCCACGGGGCGGGGUAAGGGGGGAGUAGAAUUGUUUCUAAUUCUCAGAAAGAAAGGAGACAGGAAGAGAGAGAGAAAAAGGAGAAGAGAGGGAGAGAGAGAGCAGCUCAAGAUACACUAAAGGAAACCCCAAGAAAUUUCACAACUCUUUGCCAUAAAUAGCCUUUCUUCUCACUGUGGAUACCUCCUCCUUUACAUCAGCAAGGCUCAGCCUCCACGCGCAGAGAAGCACCAUUCACAAAUCCCUCCGUCACCCCUUCGUGCACCCCUGCCCCUUGACGGCACCCGUGUACGAGUCCCUGGGGCGCAAGCCAAACGAUGAGGGAACCCAAGGUUUUCGGCUCAGGACUGAUUCUCUUUCCAGACAUCUGCAGUAGGGAAGCCAUGCAGGCUUUGUAAAGGUCCACAUGAAGAGAAACCAAUGCCCCCAGCCCUCAGCACCAUCACAGAUUUCACAUGCAACCAGCCCCAGUUUGACAGCCUUGUAAGUGAGCCAACUUGGAAGAAGAUCCUCCAGCUCCACAUAGGACACUUCAGCCAGCUGUGUGGAGCAAGAAAAACUAUUAUUUUUUACCGUGCAUGAGAAAUCACCACAAACACUGGCUCAUAAUAAAAAUUAAUUGAUUUUCUGCUA